AUUGCCCUAGUAACGGCGAGUGAAGCGGCAACAGCUCAAAUUUGAAAUCUGGCUUCGGCCCGAGUUGUAAUUUGUAGAGGAUGCUUUUGGUGCGGUGCCUUCUGAGUUCCCUGGAACGGGACGCCUUAGAGGGUGAGAGCCCCGUAAAGUUGGACACCAAGCCUAUGUAAAGCUCCUUCGACGAGUCGAGUAGUUUGGGAAUGCUGCUCAAAAUGGGAGGUAAAUUUCUUCUAAAGCUAAAUACCGGCCAGAGACCGAUAGCGCACAAGUAGAGUGAUCGAAAGAUGAAAAGCACUUUGAAAAGAGGGUUAAACAGUACGUGAAAUUGUUGAAAGGGAAGCGCUCAUGACCAGACUUGUGCCCUGCGGAUCAUCCAGCCUUCUGGCUGGUGCACUUCGCUUGGUUCAGGCCAGCAUCGGUUCUCUGAGGGGGAUAAAAGCUUCAGGAACGUAGCUCUCUCGGAGCAUUAUAGCCUGUUGCAGAAUACCUCUCGGGGGACCGAGGUUCGCGCUUCUGCAAGGAUGCUGGCGUAAUGGUCAUCAGCGACCCGUCUUGAAACACGGACCAAGGAGUCAACAUUAGUGCGAGUGUUUGGGUGUCAAACCCGCACGCGUAAUGAAAGUGAACGUAGGUGAGAGCUUCGGCGCAUCAUCGACCGAUCCUGAUGUAUUCGGAUGGAUUUGAGUAGGAGCAUUAACGCUUGGACCCGAAAGAUGGUGAACUAUGCUUGGAUAGGGUGAAGCCAGAGGAAACUCUGGUGGAGGCUCGCAGCGGUUCUGACGUGCAAAUCGAUCGUCAAAUCUGAGCAUGGGGCGAAAGACUAAUCGAACNCAUU
rnacentral:rRNA from 1 species